GAUUCCAAUUCCUCUUCCUUUUCCAUAUAAUCCAAAUCAGGUCCUGACACCUAAUGACAUAAUAGCGUUAAUCAGUUCUAUUUUGAACCAACUCCUGGUAAGUUCAUAUUAAUUUUUAAGCUAUUAUAAACUAAAAAUCUACUUAAUACAUUUAAGAUAAUAUUUUUUAAUUUUUUUAUUUUUAGGGGUUACUUGGGGUAAGCCUUCAUUUCUAUGAUUAUACUGAUAAAAGUAAGUGACAUUUAACCUCAGAAAAGGUAAGCAUAUUCUUGAGAACUGUAAAAACAUAUGGUAGAAUCACACAACUGAUUUACUCAUUUUGGAGCUCAUGAAUUAUAAACUCAAUUUCCUCCAAGAUCUUUAGAUCAUAAUUUCUGCAGGACUAAAAGGUAUUCUUUUCAUAAUGCCCAUGGUAUUUAACAAAACUUCCUUUUACAGAAAUAUAUGCAAUAUUAGGUUAAGAAAUUUCAAUCAGUAAAUUUUACCUCAAGCUUAUUGUUGUCUUGUGGACAAUCAUGUCAGCAGUAAGCAAAGCCUGCUGUGAAAUUACCAAACCUCAGGAUGCCUGAUGGCAAGGCAGCACCUCUCCUUAACACACAAGCAUCAGCUCGCUUGGUGGAAAGGCUGCGAACCUUGAGACUCUACUUUGAGUCUCACCCAAGUUUGCUUUCAUUUAAAAUAUAUACAAAAAACAUAGACCAAAAAGGUGUAUUCCUUUUUUAAAUAUCUGAAUUAAUGUCAAUUCAAAUUAUAUACAGUAUGCUUAUUUUAAGCUACCUAGAGAGAAUCCUACGAAUCAAAAUACUCUCAAUUCCAAUCCUGAUAAAGGAAUUGGAUUUCACCCGUUUUACUUCUAACAAGUUUCACUGCCCUAGAGUGCUUAUUUAGUGUUUCCUACCACUUUUUUGUUGUUGUUAAUCCUCACCUGAGGAUAUUUUUCUAUUGAUUUUUAAAGAGAGUGGAAGGCAGGGG